AGUGAACGCUGGCGGUAGGCCUAACACAUACAAGUCGAACGGCAGCACAGUAAGAGCUUGCUCUUACGGGUGGCGAGUGGCGGACGGGUGAGGAAUACAUCGGAAUCUACUUUUUCGUGGGGGAUAACGUAGGAAAACUUACGCUAAUACCGCAUACGACCUACGGGUGAAAGCAGGGGAUCUUCGGACCUUUCGCGAUUGAAUGAGCCGAUGUCGGAUUAGCUAGUUGGCGGGGUAAAGGCCCACCAAGGCGACGAUCCGUAGCUGGUCUGAGAGGAUGAUCAGCCACACUGGAACUGAGACACGGUCCAGACUCCUACGGGAGGCAGCAGUGGGGAAUAUUGGACAAUGGGCGCAAGCCUGAUCCAGCCAUACCGCGUGGGUGAAGAAGGCCUUCGGGUUGUAAAGCCCUUUUGUUGGGAAAGAAAAGCAGCAGGUUAAUACCCCGCUGUUCUGACGGUACCCAAAGAAUAAGCACCGGCUAACUUCGUG
rnacentral:rRNA from 1 species